rnacentral:rRNA from 1 species
UACAGAGGGUGCGAGCGUUGUCCGGAAUCACUGGGCGUAAAGGGCGCGUAGGUGGCGGCCCAAGUCCAUGGUGAAAGCUCGAUGCUCAACAUCGAGUCGGCCACGGAUACUGGGUUGCUCGAGCACUGUAGGGGCAGAUGGAAUUCCGGGUGUAGCGGUGGAAUGCGUAGAGAUCCGGAAGAACACCGGUGGCGAAGGCGGUCUGGCUGGGCGAGUUGCUGGACACUGAGGCGCGACAGCGUGGGGAGCAAACAGGGAUUAA